rnacentral:rRNA from 1 species
ACGGGAGGCAGCAGUGGGGAAUAUUGCACAAUGGGGGAAACCCUGAUGCAGCGACGCCGCGUGAGUGAAGAAGUAUUUCGGUAUGUAAAGCUCUAUCAGCAGGAAAGAAAAUGACGGUACCUGACUAAGAAGCCCCGGCUAACUACGUGCCAGCAGCCGCGGUAAUACGGAGGAUCCGAGCGUUAUCCGGAUUUAUUGGGUUUAAAGGGUGCGCAGGCGGGCUGCUAAGUCUCCGGUGAAAUGUCAGGGCUCAACCUUGGCACUGCCGGAGAUACUGGCGGCCUUGAGAGUGGCGGAGGUAUCCGGAAUGUGUGGUGUAGCGGUGAAAUGCAUAGAUAUCACACAGAACACCGAUUGCGAAGGCAGGAUACCAUACCAUAUCUGACGCUCAGGCACGAAAGCGUGGGGAUCGAACAGGAUUAGAUACCCUGGUA